rnacentral:rRNA from 1 species
AUGAAAAUCCUCGUGUGGAACUGUCGCGGGAUGCGUAAGCCCGCGGCAGUUCGUGCGCUCUUGGGGAUCCAAGAGCGAUUAAAACCAGAUGUGUUGUUCCUGUCUGAAACACACCUGGAUAUGGCUAAGGCAGGGAAGUUAAAAAGGAGAUUAGGGUUUGAUGAGAUGGAAGUUUCAGAGAGCGACGGCAGAAGCGGUGGACUGAUCAUGCUUUGGCAAACCACCCUGGGAGUCUCAUCUAGGGCUGUUCAUUCAAAUUACAUUGAUAUACGGAUCAAGGAGACAACAGCAGCAGGAUGGCGCUUCAUAGGCUUCUAUAGCGAGCCAAGCGGUGACCGAAAACAUCUCUCGUGGGAAUACUUGCGUGGAUUGCAUGCAAUGUCGAAUCUGCCAUGGUUAGUGGCAGGAGACUUCAAUGAAAUCUGGCAAGCCUGUGAGAAGGGGUGUUGCACGCCCUCAGAGAUGCAUGCAGGCAUUUAG